AACGAACGCUGGCGGCAUGCCUAACACAUGCCAGUCGAACGAGACCUUCGGGUCUAGUGGCGCACGGGUGCGUAGCGCGUGGGAACCUGCCCUUAGGUUCGGAAUAACUCCCCGAAAGGGGUGCUAAUACCGGAUAAUGCCUUCGGACCAAAGAUUUAUCGCCUUUGGAUGGGCCCGCGUUGGAUUAGCUAGUUGGUAGGGUAAAAGCCUACCAAGGCGACGAUCCAUAGCUGGUCUGAGAGGAUGAUCAGCCACACUGGGACUGAGACACGGCCCAGACUCCUACGGGAGGCAGCAGUGGGGAAUAUUGGACAAUGGGCGAAAGCCUGAUCCAGCAAUGCCGCGUGAGUGAUGAAGGCCUUAGGGUUGUAAAGCUCUUUUACCCGGGAUGAUAAUGACAGUACCGGGAGAAUAAGCGCCGGCUAACUCCGUG
rnacentral:rRNA from 1 species